UGUUUUUAAAAUUGAGAAUGGAAAUGGGGAAUGUGUCAAAGAGACAACAACCCGACCAAAUAAAAAACAACAGCAGAGGGUCACCAACAGGUCUUCAAUGUAGCGAGAAAUUCCCGCACCCGGAGGCGUCCUUCAGCUGGCCCCUAAACAAAUAUAUACUAGUCCAGUGAUAAUGAACGCCAUACUUUAGUCUGACGAUCGCAUGUAAAAAUGUUAAAAAAUUGAAAAUAAUUAUGCAUUUUUUAGGGUGUGUGCCAUUUUUAUAGCUGCAUCAGGUACAAAACAUAGUUACGAAUCGACCAGGUUACGAAAUGACAAGCAUUCAAUUACAACAAAAAUCGGCAAGAUUUUGCUAGGGAAUGUAAGUAAGGGUGAAGGAAAACACUGUUGAUAUCUUUUCAAUGUUCACAUAAAAAAUAACAGUGCAGGAAAUACAAAUGAUUUUUUUUUUGGAUAGGGGAAGCGGGAAUAUAAAAUUUAAUUUUUUUCCUGUUUAGUAAAAAUUAUGUGCGGAUGAUCAAGAAAUUAAAUUGGUUUGGCCUAAUAUGGUUAUUAGCAGACAUAGCAAUCCAUACUCAGUGUUUUAGAGAGCUUUUUCUGAGUAGUAACAACAAAUUAUUACUGAAAGGGAAGCUUUUUAUGUCCCUAUCUGGAAUGUGGAGUAAAUUUGUGUUUUACGUAAAAACUUAUAGAAACCUCCAUGGAGUCAAGAUAACUUUUAUAUUGAAAUAUAAUAAAGAAGAUGUGGUAUGAUUGCCAAUGAGACAACUCUCCACACGAGACCAAAUGACACAGAAAUUAACAAUUUUAGGCCAACCUUCAACCUUCAACAAUGAGAAAAGUUCAUUGAGCUUGAAUUCUUUAAUUACUCAUUUAUUAUCACAUUUCUUUCAUUGAUGAAUGAAAGUUACCCUAUCCUUUUUAUUUAUUGGCCUAAAAAGUCCUUUAGUGGUAUUUAUUAAAUUUGCAAGUUGUAGGAAAUUAAUCCUGCAAUUCAUUGCAGUAAAAAAAUUUAGGGUCAUAAACACACAUAUAUAUAUAUUGGGUGUUUCAAAGCACCAUUAUUUAUUAAGGUCUUUCCCCUACGUGAGGAAAGACCUUAUUGUUUUUCUAAUGUUUUUUUUUUUUUUCUUUUUUUUCUUCCAACAUUUUUUUGUCAUGGCCUCCCUAUGUUUCUUUUGAAGUUAUCAAGACCAAACAUGGACCAUCGAUUGACCUCAUCAUGAGGUAUAACCAGAUGACCCUGUUAAGGAUUUCAUCAUCCCCUUUAUAAGUUAUCUCCCUUUUAUUAGUUUUUUUCAACAUGGCCCCCUCUCGUUGUUUUUCAAGAUAUUAUUACCUUAUUUGGACAAUAGGUAGAUCUCAUCAUGAUGUAUCACCAUAUGAGGUUGAAUAGGAUUGCAUCGUCCCCUAUGAGAGUAAUAUCCCCUUGAAGCAAUUUCUUUCCUUUACAUUUUUCUCAAAAAGUAUUAGAGAUAGAAUUGAUUUGAAAACAACAACAUGU
rnacentral:lncRNA from 1 species